UGCAUGUGAAAGUAUAAAGUCCAAGAAGGAUGAAACUGCGAACGGCUCAUUAGAACAGUUAUAGUUUCUUCGAUUAGUAAGUACAAGGAUAGCUUUGUGAAUGAUAAAGAUAAUACUUGAGACGAUCUUGGAUGUAGAGACACAUUCAGGCCUUUGCAUCAUAAAAUGGUGUGAAGAGAAAGGAUAUCCAAACUGAAAGUGGGUAUCAUGACAAUUGUAGAAUAGCGAUAUUUAACAAGUAAUCGAUGAGAAUAUCUGAUCUAUCAACUAGUUGGUAGUAUCGAGGACUACCAAGGUUAUAACGGAUAACGAGGAAUUAGGGUUUGACAUCGGAGAGGGAGCUUUCAAGAUGGCUACCACUUCCAAGGAAGGCAGCAGCCGCGUAAAUUACCCAAUAUCAACAGAUAGAAGAGGUAGUGACGACAAAUAACUCACGACAUGCGUAAGCAUGUCUUGAAGGAAUGAGUAAGAAGCAAAGAGUCUUACGAAAUCAAUUGGAGGGCAAGUCUGGUGCCAGCAGCCGCGGUAAUUCCAGCUCC
rnacentral:rRNA from 1 species